rnacentral:misc_RNA from 1 species
UUUUUCAUUGCUUGUUUAUCUGACGAUACAAAUUCAGAGUAUAGACUCCGGCGAGCCCGCGUCGGAAUUGCUUCCAACGGCUGUUUCCAACGUCUCGCCGAAGCAACGUCGAAUUGUCAAGGGUGGGAGUUCCUUUCGGAGUCUCGGUAAUGAUCCUUCCGCAGGUUCACUGUAGAUGUUAGUUGGAGAUCAAAGCAAAGAUAAGGUUACUCACCCUACGGAAA